GUACUCAGCACACACAGGGCUCAGUACUCUCUAUGGUCACAGGUACUCAGCAUACACAGGGCUCAGUACUCUCCAGGGUCACAGGUACUCAGCAUACACAGGGCUCAGUACUCUCCAUGGUCACAGGUACUCAGCAUACACAGGGCUCAGUACUCUCCAUGGUCACAGGUACUCAGCAUACACAGGGCUCAGUACUCUCCAUGGCCACAGGUGUCAGCAUACACAGGGCUCAGUACUCUCCAGGGUCACAGGUGUCAACAUACUCAGGAUUCAGGACUCUCCAUGAUCACAGGUGUCAACAUACUCGGGGUUCAGGACUCUCCAUGGUCACAGGUUCUCAGCAUAUACAGGGUUCAGUACUCUCCAUGGUCACAGGUACUUAGCAUAUACAGGGCUCAGUACUCUCCAGGGUCACAGGUACUUAGCAUACACAGGGCUCAGUACUCUCCAGGGUCACAGGUACUCAGCAUACACAGGGGUCAGUACUCUCCAAGGUCACAGGUACUCAGCAUACACAGGGCUCAGUACUCUCUGUGGUCACAGGUACUCAGCACACACAGGGCUCAGUACUCUCCAUGGUCACAGGUACUCAGCAUACACAGGGCUCAGUACUCUCCAGGGUUCAGUACUCUCCAAGGUCACAGGUACUCAGCAUACACAGGGCUCAGUACUCUCUGUGGUCACAGGUACUCAGCACACAUAGGGCUCAGUACUCUCCAUGGUCACAGGUACUCAGGAUACACAGGGCUCAGUACUCUCCAGGGUCACAGGUACUCAGCAUACACAGGGCUCAGUACCCCCCAGGGUCACAGGUACUCAGCAUACACAGGGUUCAGUACUCUCCAUGGUUACAGGUACUCAGUAUAUAGAGGGGUCAGUACUCAUCAUGGUUACAGGUAUUCAGCAUACACAGGGUUCAGUACUCUCCAGAGUCACAGGUGUCAACAUACUCAGGGUUCAGUACUGUGCAUGGUCACAGGUACCCAGCAUAUACAGGUACUAUCAGUGGUUACAAGUACCCACUAGACUAAGUGGGGACGACUUCCUUUCUUUCGAGCUCCUGCGGAUGCCACAGUUCUCUGUCUCGCCUGUUGCUCCUCCUCCCUCUCCGUCCAGUACCUGUGGAGCCAAGCAAGAGCAUGUGAAAUGCAUGGCGAUGGGUGCAAUGGCCACCACUUCUUUCUGCUGGGGUCCCUGAGGCCCUGGCUGUGACUCUAGAGCCCAGUGCGUGGAAGGCUUGGGCUGGUGGAC
rnacentral:lncRNA from 1 species